GGUAUCUUUGUCUGGUUUUGGAAUUAAAGCCAUGGUGACUUCAUAGAAUGUCUUUGGGAAUGUUCCUUCUUCUUCAACCUUUUGGAACAGUUUAAGGAGGAUGGGUAUAAGUUCCUCUUUGUAUGUUUGAUAGAAUUCACCUGUGAAGCCAUCUGGUCCUGUACUUUUAUUUGUAGGGAGUGUUUUUAUGACAUAUUGAAUUCCAUUUUAGUGAUUGGUCUGUUCAGUUGAUCUAUUUCUUCUUGAUUUAGUUUUGGCAGGCUGUAAGUCUCUAGAAAGUUGUCCAUUUCUUCUAGGUUGUCAAAUUUGUUGGCAUACAAUUGUUCAUAGUAUUUUCUUUUUUUUUUUUUGUAUUUCUGUAGUAUCCAUUGUGACCUCUCUUUUUUCAUUUCUGAUUUUGUUUAUUUGGGUUUUUUCUCUCCUCUUCUUGGUGAGUCUAGCCAGAGGUUUGUCCAUUUUUUUACCUUUUAAUAGAAUCAGCUCUUGGUUUUAUUGAUUUCUUCAAUUGUUUUUUUAAUAUUUUUUAUUUCCUCUUUGAUCUUUAUGAUUUCCUUCUUUCUGCUGACUUUAGGUUUUACUUGUUCUUUUUCUAAUUCAUUUAGGUGGUGGGUUAAGUUGUCAGUUUGAGAUUUUUCUUUUUUUUUGAGGAAGGCCUGUAUUGCUAUGAACUUCCCUCUGAGCACUGCUUUUGCGGCAUUGCAUAGAUUUUGAGUGGUUGUGUCUUCGUUAUCAUUUGUUUCAAGAUAUUUUUUAAUUUCCUUCUUGAUCUCCUCAUUGACCCAUUGGUUUUUUAGUAGCAUGUUGUUUAGUCUCCAUGUAGUAGGGUUUUUCUCAUUUCUUUUCCUGUGGUUGAUUUCUAGUUUCAUGCCAUUGUGAUCAGAGAAGAUACUUGAAAUAAUGUCUAUAUUCUUAAAUUUGUUGAGGUUAGUUUGUGCCCCAGUAUGUGAUCAAUCCUUGAGAAUGUUCCAUGUGCACUUGGAAGAAUGUGUACUCUGAUUUUUUUGGAUGUAAUGUCCUGAAAAUGUCAGUUAAGUCUAACUUUUCUAUUGUGUCCUCUAGGAUCUCUGUUGCCUUACUGACAUUCUGUCUAGAGGAUCUGUCCAUUGUUGUGAGUGAGGUGUUAAAGUCUCCUACUAUGAUUGUAUUCCCAUCGAUUUCUCCUUUUUUGUCUGUUAGUAUUUGUUGGAGGUAUCUGGGUGCUCCUGUAUUAGGGGCAUAUAUAUUGAUGAUUGUAAUAUCCUCUUCUUGAAUGGAUCCUUUAACUGUUAAAUAUGUCCUUCUUUGGCUUUCUUUAUGGUCUUCGUUUUAAAGUCUAUUUUGUCUGACAUGAGUAUUGCAACUCCUGCUUUCCUGUCUUGUCCAUUGGCAUGAAAUAUCUUUUCCCAUCCCCUCACUUUCAAUCUAUAUGUGUCCUUUGCCCUAAGGUGAGUUUCUUGUAGACAGCAGAUUGAAGGUUUUUGCUUUUUUAUCCAAUCUGCCACUCUGUCUUUUGAUUGGAGCUUUCAGUCCUUUGACUUUUAAGGUGAUUAUUGAUAGAUAUGUAUUUAUUGCCAUUUUAAACCUUGUUUUCCAGUUGAUUCUACCUUUCUUUUUUCUUUUUUGGGUUGGAUGGUUUCCAUUUAUUUUAUGCUUGAGUACUUUUCAGUUUUUGUGAAUGUAAUGUUCAGUUUUGAUUUGUGGUUUCGCCGUUUUUUAACUAUGUUAACCCCUUUCUGUAUCUGCUUGCUUUAGCCUGAUACUCAUAUAGGCUCAAACACAUCAUUAAAAUAAAAAAAGAAUCUAUUUUUUACUCCCUUACCCACAUUGUAUGAUUUUGAUGUCUUUUUUUUUUUUUCAACAUCUUCAUAUUUAGAUCUGUAUGUUGGCUUAUUUAAGUGACUGCUUUCCAAUUGUGGUUUCCUCCAUCCUAGUUCUUCCUCUCUCUUUUUUUUUUUUUUUAAUUUAGAGAAGCCCUCUCAGUAUUUCUUUUAGAAUGGGUUUUGUA
rnacentral:lncRNA from 1 species